rnacentral:rRNA from 1 species
UACGUAGGGUGCGAGCGUUGUCCGGAAUUACUGGGCGUAAAGGGCGCGCAGGCGGCUACGCACGUCCGUUGUGAAAUCGCUCGGCUCAACUGGGCGGGGUCAGCGGAUACGGCGUAGCUGGAGCAAGCUAGGGGGCAAUGGAAUUCCCGGUGUAGUGGUGGAAUGCGUAGAUAUCGGGGAGGAACACCAGUGGCGAAGGCGGUUGCCUGGAGCUUUGCUGACGCUGAGGCGCGAAAGCGUGGGGAGCGAUCCGG